CUAUGCUUCCAAGAAAAGCAUCUAGAGAGAGAAGUAGUGCCCGUACCGCAAACCGACACAGGUAGAUGAGGAGAGAAUCCUAAGGCCGGCGGAAGAAUUGCAGUUAAGGAACUAGGCAAAUUGACCCCGUAAGUUCGCGAGAAGGGGUGCCUGCGAGAGCAGGCCGCAGAGAAUAGGCCCAAGCAACUGUUUAGCAAAAACACAGGUCUCUGCUAAAGCGUAAGCUGAUGUAUAGGGGCUGACGCCUGCCCGGUGCUGGAAGGUUAAGGGGAACACUUAGCGCAAGCGAAGGUGUGAACUUAAGCCCCAGUAAACGGCGGCCGUAACUAUAACGGUCCUAAGGUAGCGAAAUUCCUUGUCAGGUAAGUUCUGACCCGCACGAAUGGCGUAAUGACUUGGGCACUGUCUCAACUGCAAAUCCGGCGAAGUUGUAGUGCGAGUGAAGAUGCUCGCUACCCGCGAUUGGACGGAAAGACCCCGUAGAGCUUUACUGUAGCUUAGCAUUGAAUUCCGGUAUUGUCUGUACAGGAUAGGUGGGAGACUGGGAAACUAGGGCGUCAGCCUUAGUGGAGUCAACCUUGGGAUACCACCCUGACAGUACUGGGGUUCUAACAGGACGCCGUGAAGCUGGUGACUGGACAUUGUUAGGUGGGCAGUUUGACUGGGGCGGUCGCCUCCUAAAAAGUAACGGAGGCGCCCAAAGGUUCCCUCAGAACGGUCGGAAAUCGUUCGUAGAGUGCAAAGGCAGAAGGGAGCCUGACUGCGAGACCCACAAGUCGAGCAGGGACGAAAGUCGGGCUUAGUGAUCCGGUGGUACCUCGUGGGAGGGCCAUCGCUCAACGGAUAAAAGCUACCUCGGGGACAACAGGCUGAUCUCCCCCAAGAGUCCACAUCGACGGGGAGGUUUGGCACCUCGAUGUCGGCUCGUCGCAUCCUGGGGCUGUAGUAGGUCCCAAGGGUUGGGCUGUUCGCCCAUUAAAGCGGCACGCGAGCUGGGUUCAGAACGUCGUGAGACAGUUCGGUCCCUAUCCGUCGCGGGCGUAGGAAAUUUGAGAGGAGCUGUCCUUAGUACGAGAGGACCGGGAUGGACUGACCUCUGGUGCACCAGUUGCUCUGCCAAGAGCAUGGCUGGGUAGCUAAGUCGGGAAGGGAUAAACGCUGAAAGCAUCUAAGCGUGAAGCCCCCCUCAAGAUGAGAUUUCCCAUAGCAUAAGCUAGUAAGACCCCUUGAAGAACACAAGGUUGAUAGGUCAGAGGUGGAAGUGCGGUAACGUAUGUAGCUGACUGAUACUAAUAGGUCGAGGGCUUGACCAA
rnacentral:rRNA from 1 species